GAUGAACGCUGGCGGCGUGCCUAAUACAUGCAAGUCGAGCGAACAGACGAGGAGCUUGCUCCUCUGACGUUAGCGGCGGACGGGUGAGUAACACGUGGAUAACCUACCUAUAAGACUGGGAUAACUUCGGGAAACCGGGGCUAAUACCGGAUAAUAUAUUGAACCGCAUGGUUCAAUAGUGAAAGACGGUUUUGCUGUCACUUAUAGAUUGAUCCGCGCCGCAUUAGCUAGUUGUUAAUGUAACGGCUUACCAAGGCGACGAUGCGUAGCCGACCUGAGAGGGUGAUCGGCCACACUGGAACUGAGACACGGUCCAGACUCCUACGGGAGGCAGCAGUAGGGAAUCUUCCGCAAAGGGCGAAAGCAUGACGGAGCAACGCCGCGUGAGUGAUGAAGGUCUUCGGAUCGUAAAACUCUGUUAUUAGGGAAGAACAAAUGUGUAAGUAACUAUGCACGUCUUGACGGUACCUAAUCAGAAAGCCACGGCUAACUACGUG
rnacentral:rRNA from 1 species